AUUUAGGCCUAAAAGUUCGACUGUUCCAGAGGGCGGAUGAGCCAUUAAGCGGAACAGCCAGCCUGGAAGUCAUCUGAGUUACUGGCAAUGCUGUCGUCAUCGAGUAUUUAGAGGGCACUCUCCUUAAUUGCAUUUCCCGAGCCAUUGAUUAUUUCAACAGUGUUUCUUGGCACAUGGGCUUUUGUGCAGCUACAACGGACCAAGGUCAGACAAGUCUGCAGGGAGGCUCCUGAAGCACUUCCUGAAGCACUUCCCUGGAGCAGCAAGGAGAACAGACAGAGCUUAAGGGAGGAAUCC